UACGAAGGGUGCAAGCGUUAAUCGGAAUUACUGGGCGUAAAGGGUGCGUAGGCGGUUGUUUAAGUCUGCCGUGAAAUCCCCGGGCUCAACCUGGGAAUGGCAAUGGAUACUGGCGGGCUAGAGUGUGUCAGAGGAUGGUGGAAUUCCCGGCGUAGCGGUGAAAUGCGUAGAGAUCGGGAGGAACAUCAGUGGCGAAGGCGGCCAUCUGGGACAACACUGACGCUGAAGCACGAAAGCGUGGGGAGCAAACAGG
rnacentral:rRNA from 1 species